rnacentral:rRNA from 1 species
AUGGACUCAUUGCCGCUGUGGCUUGCCUUUGCAGUGGCCCGCCCCGUUGCUCCCCAUCUGUUGCAGCCUCCACUAUGUCUCGAGCUGGCUGCCAUGCCGAAUAACGAGCUCUUUGUGUCAGAGUUGCAAAAUACACUGGAUAAAAACCAAUACGGUUGGAUGAGGCAGGAAGUAAAACUUAGCUCUGUGAUGGGUGAAGCUAAAUCUCUGAAGUAA